AGAUUGAACGCUGGCGGCAUGCUUUACACAUGCAAGUCGAACGGCAGCACGGGGGCAACCCUGGUGGCGAGUGGCGAACGGGUGAGUAAGACAUCGGAACGUGUCCUAUUGUGGGGGAUAACCAGUCGAAAGACGGGCUAAUACCGCAUAAGCUGGAGACAGGAAAGCGGGGGACCUGCGAGGGCCUCGCGCGAUUGGAGCGGCCGAUGUCCGAUUAGCUAGUUGGUAGGUAAAGGCCUACCAAGGCGACGAUCGGUAGCUGGUCUGAGAGGAUGAUCAGCCACACUGGGACUGAGACACGGCCCAGACUCCUACGGGAGGCAGCAGUGGGGAAUUUUGGACAAUGGGGGCAACCCUGAUCCAGCCAUGCCGCGUGAGUG
rnacentral:rRNA from 1 species